rnacentral:lncRNA from 1 species
AGAUUCAUGCUGAUGACACAAGAUGAGCUCCGAAUCAUCAUGCCAUUAAGAAGAAAAGAUUGAUCUGAUAAAAUCUCCUAGAAUCUUAGAUGAUUCCCUUCAAUCUCGGGCAUAUUAGCUAAAAUCACAUAUCUAACAUCCACAAAUGAUGUCUGUAACCAAUAACCCAUGAUUCCCGAGUUAGUGGAUAUGGAUUCAUCACCUCUGUUAUCGAAUUUAGAGGUAAUGCAUGACUACUCUCCUCUAUAUAAAGGGGGACAAAGGGGAUCCUCAGGAAAGUUAUGGUGGAAGAAAACAAGA